UGGAAUAUGUCUCUUCUAUGAGUCCAUGCUCUUCAUUCUAAAAGGAAAAAAAAAAAGAAACUAAUGUGAUAAAGAUUUUUUGCUGUGACCGUGCGAAUGAAGCACCACCAUGAGAGCCUUUCUCCAAAAUAAAUCUACAAUCCUUGCUUUCUAAUUGAAAACUUGAAAAUGUAAAGAUGGAAAGAAAAUAUAUUGCAACUGGAUAAAGCUUCCAUUCAUCCACAAUCUAGUAGUAUAAACAUGGCUCAAAAGCUUCUUCUUUC
rnacentral:lncRNA from 1 species